rnacentral:pre_miRNA from 1 species
GAUGACUGGAUGUGUAGAGCGCUUUGGGGUCCUUAGGGACUAGUAAAGCGCUAUGCAAAAUACAGGCCAUUUACCAUU